AGUGAACGCUGGCGGUAGGCCUAACACAUGCAAGUCGAACGGCAGCACAGAGGAGCUUGCUCCUUGGGUGGCGAGUGGCGGACGGGUGAGGAAUACAUCGGAAUCUACUCUGUCGUGGGGGAUAACAUAGGGAAACUUACGCUAAUACCGCAUACGACCUACGGGUGAAAGCAGGGGAUCUUCGGACCUUGCGCGAUUGAAUGAGCCGAUGUCGGAUUAGCUAGUUGGCGGGGUAAAGGCCCACCAAGGCGACGAUCCGUAGCUGGUUUGAGAGGAUGAUCAGCCACACUGGAACUGAGACACGGUCCAGACUCCUACGGGAGGCAGCAGUGGGGAAUAUUGGACAAUGGGCGCAAGCCUGAUCCAGCCAUACCGCGUGGGUGAAGAAGGCCUUCGGGUUGUAAAGCCCUUUUGUUGGGAAAGAAAUCCAUCUGGUUAAUACCCGGAUGGGAUGACGGUACCCAAAGAAUAAGCACCGGCUAACUUCGUGCCAGCCGCCGCGGUAA
rnacentral:rRNA from 1 species